CUCCUCCUCCUCCCCCGUUCCCUGAACCCCUAGCAGCCCGUGGGAGCAGCGGGGAUGGAGCCGGGACAGGGCAGGUAGACAAAACAAAUCCUUCUCCAGCUUGAGACCAAGGACAACCCUUACAAGCUUCAGGCCCAAAAAGGAAACAACAGGGAACUGAAGAGAGCAAAUGAGGAGGAUGCGACUUCAGACCCUGAAGCUGAAAUUGGACAAUUAACCCUGAUAUGAAAAUGGACCAAAAACUUAUCAAAGUGUGAAACCUCAUGGCUGGUCAUCCAUUUUGUGACCAUUUUGUGUUCAUCUUGGGUGUAGCCCUGGCCAGACUCUUGCUCUGCCCAAGGUGUAUCCUUUUAAGGCCUUUUAAUGAAUAAUUACUUUAUUCUUUUAGCUCUGUCUAGUCUCUGUUCCAGGUCAGCCUCCUCAAGGCAUCACUGGCACCCCCUUUCCUGGGCACAGGAUUCCCUGGACACCCCAUCCCCCCUCUCCCAGUCCCUGCACCCCCUUUCCUUGACUCUGAGCCCCUGAACCUCCUUCCCAGCUCAGCCAGUUCUUCCAGUCUCCCCUUUCCUUGACCUAUAACCCCCCUGGAUCCCCAAACUCCCACUUUCAGUCCCCCAGCUCCCCCAAAUCACCGUGUCCCCGCAGUUCUCCACUCACUGCAGUCCCUGGAAGUGGCGGUGUUGGAGCCCAGCCUGGGGGUCCCCCAGUCCUUGAUUGUGGGGACGUGGACGGGACCCCCUGUGAGCGCUGGGACAGCGAGCGGGGCCAGAUGGAGCCACAGACACCGGGGAUGGCAGCGGGAGCUGAGCUGGGAUAUUGGGACAGGCAGAGCUGGGAUAUUGGGACAGCCAGAGCUGGGAUAUUGGGAUGGGCGGAGCUGGGACAUUGGGACAGCCAGAGCUCAGAUAUUGGGAUAGGCAGAGCUGGGAUAUUGGGAUAGGCAGAGCUGGGAUAUUGGGACAGGCAGAGCUGGGAUAUUGGGACAGGCAGAGCUGGGAUAUUGGGACAGGCAGAGCUGGAAUAUUGGAAUAGGCAGAGCUGGGAUAUUGGGACAGGCAGAGCUGGAAUAUUGGGAUAGGCAGAGCUGGGAUAUUGGGAUAGGCAGAGCUGGGAUAUUGGGACAGGCAGACCCAGGAUAUUGAGAUAGUGUCCUAGGGUGACUUCAUGAUGCUUGUGUCCUGAGUCCUCUGUUCUGUUUGUGCUGUUUGUUGAGUUCUGUGCUUUUAAGACUGGUUCUAAGAGCAAGGAGAAGCGCAGAGUUUGAUUUGAGAAAAAUACCUGACUCCUUCACAUUCUUCUCCGGACAGGGUGUUCAGCGGAGGCUUGGAGAGACUGCAGGAGAGAUCUUUUUGCUUUUAGUUAGUUUCAGCUAGCUAGGGCAGAGAAGUUCCCUGGACUGUAUUUUCUUUUUUUUUUUUUUCUCCUGGGACUGUUUAAACCUGCUCUGGACUGGAAAAACCCAGGGAGCACUGGGGGCUUGCACCUGCAGCCCACCAGGGCCUGGACCUUGGCAUUUUCCAGCAGUAUGGACUGGGACUGAUGAGAGACUGAGAGAGAGCCGAGGUCUCCACAUGGUGCAGGUGGUUUCCAGCUGUCACCUCCUGUCCCGCAGAGAAUCCAUGGAUCCCAUGGUGCAGCUACGACGGGUGGGAUUUCAUCUCCUUCCAGCUGCGAUCCGGGAGCUUUGCAGUGUCCGACGGUGCCACCUGGAUCACCCCGAGGUGCUGGGAAUCCAAAGGGAUCAUGGUGGAGCAGAUGAAGCUUUACCUGGGACACACCAGUGUGAAGGGCCCCAAAAUACAUCAGAUAUGGUUGGGAUGCUGUGGAGCACAAAGGUGGGUGUGGGAGGGGAAUUUCUAUGGGAAUGUGGGAUUCAGAAAUGGGGGGACUUGGGAAGGCAGGAAUUCCCAUGGGAUUUCCAUAGCUGGAUCUCACUCUCAUCCCAGUCAGGUGAGAAUUCCAUGGAUGGCUCUCCCCACUACCAACUGCCAUGGAAAUUCCAUGGGGAAAUGAUUUGAAUCGAUGACCAAUCCAAUGACAGCAGUGAAAUGAGAAGCAAUCCCUGCUGGGAUUGCACAGGACACAAACGCCAAUCCUUUCCCCAGGCCGGCUCUGUUGUGCCCGUGGCAGCACCAGGGGAGUGCCCUGUCCCUGCCCUGAGCCCAGCAGGAGCCUUUCCUCGGGUGUUCCCUGCCCUGCCCGGGGCAGGAGGGCACUGCCAGAGUGGCUUUGGUGGCCCUGGGCACCCAGCCGGGCUCCAGCCACUGCAGGUGGCUCCUUGGGAAUGUUCCAGAGCAAAGCUUCAAGCAAACAACAGUUUGUGGAGGGGAUUCUCCCCCUUGGCCUGUGCUGGGAGCCCAAGGGCAACAGCCCAGGAACAACAGCCCAAAGUGCUGGAGCUCAGUGUCCCUGGGCCAGGCCGUGUUCCCUGGCUGUCCCCUGUCUCUCAGCUGUCCCUCGGCUGUUCCCUGUCCCUCAGCUGUCCCCUGUCCCUAGGAUCUGUGGGGCCAGGGGUGGCAGCAGGACCCGGGGCAGCCCUGGGGGAGAACAACCCUGAGCCCCAGCUGGGCCAGUUCCCCCAGGCGAGCCCAGGUCACUCCCAGCAUGGGCCCUGUGUCUCCCAGUCACCUCCAGUAUGAUCCCAUUCACUCCCACUAUGGCUCCAGUCCUUCCCAGUUUGAUUCUAGUAUGAUCCCAGUCACUCCUAGUAUGGUGCCAUUUGUCUCCAGCAUGGUCCCAGUUGCACCCAGUUACCCAGUAAGGUUCCAAUCACUCCCAGAUACUCCCAGUAUUAUUCCUGUGACUGCCUUUAUGGUUCCUCUGUGAUCCCAGUCACUCCUGGUCUCUGCCAGGAAAUCCCAGUUUGUUUCCACUCACUCCCAUUUGCUCCUAGUAGCUUCCAACAUGAUUUCCUGCUCAGAGCCACUCCCAGUCAACUCCAGCAUGAUUCCAGUCUCUCCUUGUAUAUCCCAGUUUCCUUUUCCUCAACACUGCCCUCAGCCUGCACCCAGUCACUCCCAGUAUGAUCCCAGAAUGACCCCAGUCACCCGCAGUGUGGUGCCAGUUGCUCCCAGUAUGAUCCCAGUUGUCCCCAGCAUGGUCCCAUUUCCUCCCAGUGUAAUCCCAGUUGCAUAGAUCCAGUCACUCCCAGUAUGAUGCUAUUCUGAAGCCAUCAUGGUCCCAGUUGCCCCCAGUAUUGUCUCAGUAGCUCCCAGUUCCUCCCAGUCUGAUCCCAGUUGCUCUCAGUGGCCCUAACAUAGACCCAGUCAUUUCAAGUAUGAUCCCAGUAUGAGUCACUAUGAUCCCAGUCUCCCCUGCGUGGUCCCAGUCAAACCCAGUUGCCCCCAGUAUAGACCCAGUCACUUCCAGUCCCUCUCAGUGUGUUCCCAGUCACUCCCAGUAUGGUCACAGACACUCUCAGUAUAUCCCAGUUGCCCUCAGCAUACUCAUUCCCAGUCACAUCCACUUAUCCUAGUAAGUUCCACUUUCCACCAGUAUGAUCCCAGUCACUCUCAGUCUAAUGCCAGUAUAUCCCAGUUGGUCCCAUGGUGAUCCCUGUUCCCCAGUUCUGGUCCUGCUGGGUCCCAGUGUGCUCUGAUCCUGCUCCCAGUGCAUGCCAGUCCCAGGCCCGGUGUAUCCCGGUGUAUCCAGUAGGAUUCCUGCCCGACCCAAGCACUGCACUUACGGCUCCAGCAUUGCUUUCCAACAAAAACAGAGGACGGCAAACUGUGUGUAGCUCAUGGUAUUUUACAGUGUCUAAAACUUGCCAAGUCAUGGAUAUUAGAGAUAAGAUCCAUCUGGAAUUAAUGGGAAGGAGAAGUAGUGCAAGAUGGAAAAGGGUAGUAUAGAAAUAAACAGAGGGAAACAUUUUGGUUUAUUUCUUUUCAUUUUCAUUUCACUUCUGGAAAGCUGUUUCAGUUUUCCAGGAAUCUUCUCCCCAGUCCUGUCUGCUCUUUUCAAGAACCUUUCCUGGAGAAUGAGAUGCAGCGUCUGUCACAAGAUGUGCCACUAACGGCAGCUUAUCUUGGCUUUCUACACCGUGUGUGCAGCACAACCCUUGCAGCAAAGCAAGAUAAAUGUAUGGAGAACUUUACAACUUGUUCUUUCUUUUCCUUGUGGACUGGGGACUUGUGCCAUUGGUAAGGUUUUCAUUGUUACUGUUCUACCCUAAGAAAACAUGAUGGGGUACCAGGAAUUGUUAGGGGAUACAAGCCUGGCUGAAUGCAGAGAAGGAAUAUCCAGAGGCUGCAGCCUGGAGUGGAGUUGUGUGAAAAUCAUUCCAACAUCUCCAUGGGCGCCUGGAAAGUAAUCUAGAGAAUGAAAAUGGACUGACAGAGAGAGUUUGUUUCUGUGUUCAGUUCAGAUGAUUCUACAUCUCUUGCAUUGAUAUAAAUCAAGAGUACAAUCAGUUCAUGAGAAGCACCAGAACAAGCUGAACGUCUCCAAGGAGGUGACUGAAAGAAUCUGAAAAGGAAAAAUGCAGGGAAUGACUGGGUGAACUUGGUCUGUAAGAAUGGUUAUUUUUUCUAAUAAUUUCUAAUCCAUUCCCUCUGCUUUUGUCUUUCUGCAAAAGGCCAUUUUCAUCCCCGACGCCUCAUGAAAUGAGAAGCCUGAGCUUGUGGAACUGCCUGAAAGAUGCCCUGUUCCUCUGCAGGGACACUCAGUCUGAAACAGGAGUCUGAGUUCUCUCUGGGGAAGCCUCCUACGAGCUGGAAUUUGUUUCAUGCUGGGAGAGGAGGAGGUGAGGGAGAAUGAUGGGUGCUGUGUGGCAGGAGACAAUUUCUGUGAUGGUCUCUUGUCAGUUGAUUUUAUUUCAGCAGCAGCAACAGGGCUGUGAUUGAGUGCUGCAAAUGUGACCUGUGUGGUUUUAAUUCUCCUUUACUUUGUGCUCCGGGACUUGUGAACAUUUGGGGAUCUGCUACUCAUGAUGCCAGAGUUUCCUGUCAUGAAAGCACUCUGGGUGGCAUUGAUCAUAAAAGGCAAUGGCAGUUUUACAGAUAAAAGUCAAAUGGCAACCAGAGGAGGGACAAGAGCAGACAGGAUCUACAAUUCUCAAGGCAAAGGCAGCAGCAGCCUCCUGCUGUCACCUCAGGGGACUCAGCUGUGAGGAGCUGGACAUGGACAGAGGCAUCUGGAACAGUUCUUUCCUCAGGAUGAGCUCUCCAGCCAGGCCCUGAAGUCAAUCAAGUGCUUUCCCAGAGGAUUCCAUGGUUGCCAACCACCUCUCCAGAUGUGGCUCAUAGGAGCACAGAACCAUUUUCAAGGUCAGGAGAGCAGAAAAAUUGACAAGAACUGCCCAAUUCAGAGCUCUGUUUAAAAACCUGAAAAAUUAAAAAUCAGUUGAACUCUGAAGCCCAGCUCUGGGCCCUGGAAUCUAAAGGAAAACUGGAAAGGCUUUUUACAAGGACUGACACUGAAGAGCUAACAGAUGAAUGUGUGUGGCAUUUUGAGAGGCUUCCAAUUUUCUACAUUUUUCCUUGAACUGUUGAAUUUGACCUUAUCUUUGCCUUCUCUUGCACUAAAGGAGCCUCAUUUUACCAGCCAGGAAGGCAAAGCUCAUUCCUGGCCCUGGCUGCUGCUGUCCAUGCAGCAUUUCCAUCCCUCCCGUGGCCUCUUCCCUCAGGGUCCCCAGCAGCAGCUGCUGGAGCAGCACAUGGAAGCUGCAGAUGGAUCUGCUGCCCACCCCAGCCUGAAGCUACACAAGGAUCCUGCUGACAGGAACCCCAAUAUUCCCUCCCAGGGGCCCUGCAAACACCUCCCCAUCUGUUCUGUCUGCUCCAUGCAGACAUUGCAGGGAACAUCCUGUCUCUCCUUUGGGGCAAGGCCAGGACCCCAAAUUCACAUUCAAAAUGCUGGAUUCUGGCCCAUUUCUGUGUCUGGUGAGAUGGAGCUGCAGCAUUAUCCAGAGAAACUCACUGUACUUCAUACUCCAGCUUGAAAACCCAACCCUUGGAAAGGAUUUUUAUAAGGACCACAACUGAUAGUCCAAAUAAGAUUAAUUUUAAACUGUUACCCUUCAUUCUCUGUGGUAGAUUCUUCUAUGCCAUAAAACACAGCUUCAAUCAGACUGCAAGUACUGGGUCUGAAGCCUGCAGUAACAGAACAAAACAAAGCCAGACAGAUUUCCUUAUGAAAACUGAAAGACAUAAAAAUAGUAGAUGUGUUUUUCUCUUCAAGAUGUUUUUGCGGGAAACAUAACACAUAAGGCAAAUUCACCCUAUGUGAGUGUUUUGAAAAAUGGCAAGCAGGGGUUAUUUUUUGAGGAAGGAUAAUUCUACUCAAAGUUGAAGAUAAAUUGAACUUAGCAUUAAAACCUGUCCAUGGUGCUUGCACAGGGUCUUUGCCAGCUCCUUGUGGUCUGUGAGGAGCAACUGGAGAGCAAGAGCUGGCACAGAGGAGGCAGGACAAGUGGUUGCAGAGGAGAUGCAGGACUUGAGGACAGCUUUUUGUUGUGCUAGCUAGGAUUUUUUUAAUAAAAACUGCAUUAAACCUCAACUCCCUUGCA